GAGUUUGAUCGUGGCUCAGGAUGAACGCUGGCGGCGUGCUUAACACAUGCAAGUCGAACGGAAAGGCCCUUGCUUGCAAGGGUGCUCGAGUGGCGAGCGGGUGAGUAACACGUAGGUGAUCUGCCUUUCACUUCGGGAUAAGCUUGGGAAACUGGGUCUAAUACCGGAUAUUCACGGCACCGUGGUUGGUGUGGUGGAAAGCUUUUGCGGUGGGAGAUGAGCUUGCGGCCUAUCAGCUUGUUGGUGGGGUAAUGGCCUACCAAGGCGGCGACGGGUAGCCGGCCUGAGAGGGUGUGCGGCCACAUUGGGACUGAGAUACGGCCCAGACUCCUACGGGAGGCAGCAGUGGGGAAUUUUGCACAAUGGGCGGAAGCCUGAUGCAGCGACGCCGUGUGGGGAUGAAGGCCUCGGUCGUAAC
rnacentral:rRNA from 1 species